GACGAACGCUGGCGGCGUGCUUAACACAUGCAAGUCGAACGGAAAGGCCCUGCUUUUGUGGGGUGCUCGAGUGGCGAACGGGUGAGUAACACGUGAGUAACCUGCCCUUGACUUUGGGAUAACUUCAGGAAACUGGGGCUAAUACCGGAUAGGAGCUCCUGCUGCAUGGUGGGGGUUGGAAAGUUUCGGCGGUUGGGGAUGGACUCGCGGCUUAUCAGCUUGUUGGUGGGGUAGUGGCUUACCAAGGCUUUGACGGGUAGCCGGCCUGAGAGGGUGACCGGCCACAAUGGGACUGAGAUACGGACCAGACUCCAACGGGAGGCAGCAGGGGGGAAUAUGGCACAAUGGGCGGAAGCCUGAUGCAGCAACGCCGCGUGCGGGAUGACGGCCUUCUGGUUGUAAACCGCUUUCGCCUGUGACGAAGCGUGAGUGACGGUAAUGGGUAAAGAAGCACCGGCUAACUACGUG
rnacentral:rRNA from 1 species